GAUGAACGCUGGCGGCGUGCCUAAUACAUGCAAGUCGAGCGAACGGACGAGAAGCUUGCUUUUCUGAUGUUAGCGGCGGACGGGUGAGUAACACGUGGAUAACCUAUCUAUAAGACUGGGAUAACUUCGGGAAACCGGAGCUAAUACCGGAUAAUAUUUUGAACAGCAUGGUUCAAAAGUGAAAGACGGUCUUGCUGUCACUUAUAGAUGGAUCCGCGCUGCAUUAGCUAGUUGGUAAGGUAACGGCUUACCAAGGCAACGAUGCAUAGCCGACCUGAGAGGGUGAUCGGCCACACUGGAACUGAGACACGGUCCAGACUCCUACGGGAGGCAGCAGUAGGGAAUUUUCCGCAAUGGGCGAAAGCCUGACGGAGCAACGCCGCGUGAGUGAUGAAGGUCUUCGGAUCGUAAAACUCUUUUAUUAGGGAAGAACAUAUGUGUAAGUAACUGUGCGCAUCUUGACGGUACCUAAUCAGAAAGCCACGGCUAACUACGUG
rnacentral:rRNA from 1 species